rnacentral:sRNA from 1 species
CAUGUGAAUUUCCUGUUACAAAGUGUGUUUCAAGUUGAUAUGAUGUCAAAGAGACAGUAGACGAGGUUAUGAAAGGAGGGAAAGUGCAUCAAACCUGUGCAUUUCACAAUAGGUCUGUCCUCACCAGCUUAGUGAUUAUGAAUGAUCCUGUCUCUAAUUCCCUGUCUGUAAAAGGUUGCUUUGAACUCCAGGAAAGGUGCCUCCAGAACCCCUUGGAGAACUUGGAAUUAACUUGUGGCUACCUAUUGGAAGAGGAUGUGAAGUGUCUCUCCCAGUACCCAAGCCUCGGUUACCUAAAGCAUCUGAAUCUCAGCUACGUGCUGCUGUUCCGCAUCAGUCUGGAAUCCCUCGGAGCUCUGCUAGAGAAAAUUGCUGCCUCUCUCAAGACCCUGAUCUUGGAGGGCUGUCAGAUCCACUACUCGCAACUCAGUGCCAUCCUGCCUGGCCUGAGCCACUGCUCCCAGCUCACCACCUUCUACUUUGGCAGAAAUUGCAUGUCUAUGGACGCCCUGAAGGACCUGCUGCGCCACACCAGCGGGCUGAGCAAGUUAAGCCUGGAGACGUAUCCUGCCCCUGAGGAGAGUUUGAAUUCCUUGGUUCGUGUCGAUUGGGAGAUCUUCACCCCACUUCAGGAUGAGCUGAUGUGCACACUGAGGGAAGUCAGGCAGCCCAAGAGGAUUUUCAUUGGCCCCACCCCCUGCCCUUCUGUGGCUCAUCACCAUCUGAGGAAGUGGAGCUCCAUCUUUGUUGCUAGGGAAGGCGUGCCUAGCGGGGUAGAGAAAUCCAAAGUUCUCUUCCAGGCACUUGGACACUAAAAUCUACUAUGUGGGUUCAAGCUAUUUUUCUAUUUUCUUAUUUCCAUUUUUAAUAAUUCCAAAAGUUUUAUUGAAGACAAUUAGAGACAAUGUUUCUCUAUGUUGCUCCAGCUGGGCUUAUGGGAUCCUCCUGCCUCAACGUCCUAAAAUGCUGGGAUUACUGGGAUGAGUGACUGUGUCCAGGCCACAUGCAACUUAAAGGAAUCACAGGCAAGUGCUCAGUGUUAGGGAAAAAAAAGAUAACAGCAGGGGGCAAGGCUGGAAGAAAAUGUUGAAGUGACGUCAAUGAGAACUUCAGGGACCCGUGUCCUACAGAGUCAGAAAGAGAAGCUAAAGCUCUGCAUUGAUGAGAGUGUUAUCCCUGGAAAGACGGUUACCGAGGAGUAUCAGAAACAAAGAGUGCCUGAAUGAAAA